rnacentral:lncRNA from 1 species
AGAUCUCUUCUUCUAGAUCUUGAAGAAGGAGAUCGCUGCAUGAACUUUUUUGCACAGAUCCGAUGAGAUCUGAACCAGAUCACCAUGAAGAGAAAAAGAACCCUUCUUCUUCUCUCUCUUUUCUCUUUUUAGUUCUGAUCUCUAUCAAAUCUUAGGCAUGGAGGAUGACGGAAGUAAGGAGAGAAAAUGUUGAAGACCACCCACACGGCA